AUGCAAUCGAAGACCAGGUGAAGAGCUGAUAAGAUGACCAUUAAUCUGUAAUGGCUGCAAAUAGCAGCCUCUCUGGUACUACAUGCAGCCUGUUGCUUGUAUGGACUGGAAACAACCUUCCACAGUU
ensembl:snoRNA SNORA70 Small nucleolar RNA SNORA70